UUGGGGGGACCAUCCUCCAAGGCUAAAUACUCCUGACUGACCGAUAGUGAACCAGUACCGUGAGGGAAAGGCGAAAAGAACCCCGGCGAGGGGAGUGAAAAAGAACCUGAAACCGUGUACGUACAAGCAGUGGGAGCAUGCUUAGGCGUGUGACUGCGUACCUUUUGUAUAAUGGGUCAGCGACUUAUAUUCUGUAGCAAGGUUAACCGAAUAGGGGAGCCGAAGGGAAACCGAGUCUUAACUGGGCGUUAAGUUGCAGGGUAUAGACCCGAAACCCGGUGAUCUAGCCAUGGGCAGGUUGAAGGUUGGGUAACACUAACUGGAGGACCGAACCGACUAAUGUUGAAAAAUUAGCGGAUGACUUGUGGCUGGGGGUGAAAGGCCAAUCAAACCGGGAGAUAGCUGGUUCUCCCCGAAAGCUAUUUAGGUAGCGCCUCGUGAAUUCAUCUCCGGGGGUAGAGCACUGUUUCGGCAAGGGGGUCAUCCCGACUUACCAACCCGAUGCAAACUGCGAAUACCGGAGAAUGUUAUCACGGGAGACACACGGCGGGUGCUAACGUCCGUCGUGAAGAGGGAAACAACCCAGACCGCCAGCUAAGGUCCCAAAGUCAUGGUUAAGUGGGAAACGAUGUGGGAAGGCCCAGACAGCCAGGAUGUUGGCUUAGAAGCAGCCAUCAUUUAAAGAAAGCGUAAUAGCUCACUGGUCGAGUCGGCCUGCGCGGAAGAUGUAACGGGGCUAAACCAUGCACCGAAGCUGCGGCAGCGACGCUUAUGCGUUGUUGGGUAGGGGAGCGUUCUGUAAGCCUGCGAAGGUGUGCUGUGAGGCAUGCUGGAGGUAUCAGAAGUGCGAAUGCUGACAUAAGUAACGAUAAAGCGGGUGAAAAGCCCGCUCGCCGGAAGACCAAGGGUUCCUGUCCAACGUUAAUCGGGGCAGGGUGAGUCGACCCCUAAGGCGAGGCCGAAAGGCGUAGUCGAUGGGAAACAGGUUAAUAUUCCUGUACUUGGUGUUACUGCGAAGGGGGGACGGAGAAGGCUAUGUUGGCCGGGCGACGGUUGUCCCGGUUUAAGCGUGUAGGCUGGUUUUCCAGGCAAAUCCGGAAAAUCAAGGCUGAGGCGUGAUGACGAGGCACUACGGUGCUGAAGCAACAAAUGCCCUGCUUCCAGGAAAAGCCUCUAAGCAUCAGGUAACAUCAAAUCGUACCCCAAACCGACACAGGUGGUCAGGUAGAGAAUACCAAGGCGCUUGAGAGAACUCGGGUGAAGGAACUAGGCAAAAUGGUGCCGUAACUUCGGGAGAAGGCACGCUGAUAUGUAGGUGAAGUCCCUCGCGGAUGGAGCUGAAAUCAGUCGAAGAUACCAGCUGGCUGCAACUGUUUAUUAAAAACACAGCACUGUGCAAACACGAAAGUGGACGUAUACGGUGUGACGCCUGCCCGGUGCCGGAAGGUUAAUUGAUGGGGUUAGCCGCAAGGCGAAGCUCUUGAUCGAAGCCCCGGUAAACGGCGGCCGUAACUAUAACGGUCCUAAGGUAGCGAAAUUCCUUGUCGGGUAAGUUCCGACCUGCACGAAUGGCGUAAUGAUGGCCAGGCUGUCUCCACCCGAGACUCAGUGAAAUUGAACUCGCUGUGAAGAUGCAGUGUACCCGCGGCAAGACGGAAAGACCCCGUGAACCUUUACUAUAGCUUGACACUGAACAUUGAGCCUUGAUGUGUAGGAUAGGUGGGAGGCUUUGAAGUGUGGACGCCAGUCUGCAUGGAGCCGACCUUGAAAUACCACCCUUUAAUGUUUGAUGUUCUAACGUGGACCCGUAAUCCGGGUUGCGGACAGUGUCUGGUGGGUAGUUUGACUGGGGCGGUCUCCUCCUAAAGAGUAACGGAGGAGCACGAAGGUUGGCUAAUCCUGGUCGGACAUCAGGAGGUUAGUGCAAUGGCAUAAGCCAGCUUGACUGCGAGCGUGACGGCGCGAGCAGGUGCGAAAGCAGGUCAUAGUGAUCCGGUGGUUCUGAAUGGAAGGGCCAUCGCUCAACGGAUAAAAGGUACUCCGGGGAUAACAGGCUGAUACCGCCCAAGAGUUCAUAUCGACGGCGGUGUUUGGCACCUCGAUGUCGGCUCAUCACAUCCUGGGGCUGAAGUAGGUCCCAAGGGUAUGGCUGUUCGCCAUUUAAAGUGGUACGCGAGCUGGGUUUAGAACGUCGUGAGACAGUUCGGUCCCUAUCUGCCGUGGGCGCUGGAGAACUGAGGGGGGCUGCUCCUAGUACGAGAGGACCGGAGUGGACGCAUCACUGGUGUUCGGGUUGUCAUGCCAAUGGCACUGCCCGGUAGCUAAAUGCGGAAGAGAUAAGUGCUGAAAGCAUCUAAGCACGAAACUUGCCCCGAGAUGAGUUCUCCCUGACUCCUUGAGAGUCCUGAAGGAACGUUGAAGACGACGACGUUGAUAGGCCGGGUGUGUAAGCGCAGCGAUGCGUUGAGCUAACCGGUACUAAUGAACCGUGAGGCUUAACCUU
rnacentral:rRNA from 1 species